GGUAUAGUAGGGUAACCGGAGAAAAUUCUACUAAAUUUGUUUCGUACAUUGCGACUUUGGUUCGUUCUCAUGUUGAUAUCAACAUCAAGAGUUGGCGUAAUAUAGAUAAAAGCCUUAAAAAUAUCAUUUGGGAACAUGUUAAUGAUCAGUUUGGUAUGCAAGAUGAUUCAAAAAAGUCUGUAGUUUUGAAAAUUGCAUGGUUGAGAUGGAAAGACUUCAACAAUAGAUUGUUACGUGAAUAUGUUAACAAGAAGCACCCAAGGUAUAACUCUCCUACAUAGCUUUAUGAUUUCUUGAGUGAAGAACAAUAGGGAAGUUUGUAGCAAAACGGCAUACUAAAGAGUUUAAGG